UACGGAGGGGGUUAGCGUUGUUCGGAAUUACUGGGCGUAAAGCGCGCGUAGGCGGACCAGAAAGUUGGGGGUGAAAUCCCGGGGCUCAACCCCGGAACGGCCUCCAAAACUCCUGGUCUUGAGUUCGAGAGAGGCGAGUGGAAUUCCGAGUGUAGAGGUGAAAUUCGUAGAUAUUCGGAGGAACACCAGUGGCGAAGGCGGCUCACUGGCUCGAUACUGACGCUGAGGUGCGAAAGUGUGGGGAGCAAACAGG
rnacentral:rRNA from 1 species